UUAAGUUAAUAAGGGCGCACGGUGGAUGCCUUGGCACUAGAAGCCGAUGAAGGACGUGACUAACGACGAAAUGCUUUGGGGAGCUGUAAGUGAGCAAUGAUCCAGAGAUGUCCGAAUGGGGGAACCCGGCAGGUAAUGCCUGUCACUCAUUACUGUUAAGGUAAUGUAGAGGAAGACGCAGUGAACUGAAACAUCUAAGUAGCUGCAGGAAGAGAAAGCAAAAGCGAUUGCCUUAGUAGCGGCGAGCGAAACGGCAGGAGGGCAAACCGAAGAGUUUACUCUUCGGGGUUGUAGGACUGCAAUGUGGACUCAAAGAUUAUAGAAGAAUGAUAUGGGAAGAUCAGCCAAAGAGAGUGAGAGCCUCGUAUUUUAAAUAGUCUUUGUACCUAGCAGUAUCCUGAGUACGGCGGGACACGAGAAAUCCCGUCGGAAUCUGGGAGGACCAUCUCCCAACCCUAAAUACUCCCUAGUGACCGAUAGUGAACCAGUACCGUGAGGGAAAGGUGAAAAGCACCCCGGGAGGGGAGUGAAAUAGAACCUGAAACCGUGUGCCUACAACAAGUUCGAGCCCGUUAAUGGGUGAGAGCGUGCCUUUUGUAGAAUGAACCGGCGAGUUACGAUAUGAUGCGAGGUUAAGUUGAAGAGACGGAGCCGUAGGGAAACCGAGUCUGAAUAGGGCGCAUUAGUAUUAUGUCGUAGACCCGAAACCAUGUGACCUACCCAUGAGCAGGUUGAAGGUGCGGUAAAACGCACUGGAGGACCGAACCAGGGCACGUUGAAAAGUGCUUGGAUGACUUGUGGGUAGCGGAGAAAUUCCAAACGAACUUGGAGAUAGCUGGUUCUCUCCGAAAUAGCUUUAGGGCUAGCGUCGAUGUUAAGUCUCUUGGAGGUAGAGCACUGUUUGGGUGAGGGGUCCAUCCCGGAUUACCAAUCUCAGAUAAACUCCGAAUGCCAACGAGAUAUAAUCGGCAGUCAGACUGCGAGUGCUAAGAUCCGUAGUCGAAAGGGAAACAGCCCAGACCACCAGCUAAGGUCCCAAAAUAUAUGUUAAGUGGAAAAGGAUGUGGGGUUGCACAGACAACUAGGAUGUUAGCUUAGAAGCAGCUAUUCAUUCAAAGAGUGCGUAAUAGCUCACUAGUCGAGUGACCCUGCGCCGAAAAUGUACCGGGGCUAAAACAAUUUACCGAAGCUGUGGAUACCUUUAUAGGUAUGGUAGGAGAGCGUUCUAUGUGUGAAGAAGGUAUACCGUGAGGAGUGCUGGAACGCAUAGAAGUGAGAAUGCCGGUAUGAGUAGCGAAAGACAGGUGAGAAUCCUGUCCACCGUAAGACUAAGGUUUCCAGGGGAAGGCUCGUCCGCCCUGGGUUAGUCGGGACCUAAGGAGAGACCGAAAGGUGUAUCCGAUGGACAACAGGUUGAUAUUCCUGUACUAGAGUAUGUAGUGAUGGAGGGACGCAGUAGGCUAACUAAAGCGUGCGAUUGGAAGUGCACGUCUAAGCAGUGAGGUGUGAAUUGAGUUAAAUGCUUAGUUCUAUAACAUUGAGCUGUGAUGGGGAGCGAAGUUUAGUAGCGAAGUUAGUGAUGUCACACUGCCGAGAAAAGCUUCUAGCGUUAAUUAUACUCUACCCGUACCGCAAACCGACACAGGUAGUCGAGGCGAGUAGCCUCAGGUGAGCGAGAGAACUCUCGUUAAGGAACUCGGCAAAAUGACCCCGUAACUUCGGGAGAAGGGGUGCUGGCUUUCAGUCAGCCGCAGUGAAUAGGCCCAAGCAACUGUUUAUCAAAAACACAGCUCUCUGCUAAAUCGUAAGAUGAUGUAUAGGGGGUGACGCCUGCCCGGUGCUGGAAGGUUAAGAGGAGUGCUUAGCGCAAGCGAAGGUAUGAAUUGAAGCCCCAGUAAACGGCGGCCGUAACUAUAACGGUCCUAAGGUAGCGAAAUUCCUUGUCGGGUAAGUUCCGACCCGCACGAAAGGCGUAAUGAUUUGGGCACUGUCUCAACGAGAGACUCGGUGAAAUUUUAGUACCUGUGAAGAUGCAGGUUACCCGCGACAGGACGGAAAGACCCCAUGGAGCUUUACUGCAGUUUGAUAUUGAGUAUCUGUACCACAUGUACAGGAUAGGUAGGAGCCUAUGACCUCGGGACGCCAGUUUCGAGUGAGGCGUUGUUGGGAUACUACCCUUGUGUUAUGGCUACUCUAACCCAGAUAGGUUAUCCCUAUCGGAGACAGUGUCUGACGGGCAGUUUGACUGGGGCGGUCGCCUCCUAAAAGGUAACGGAGGCGCCCAAAGGUUCCCUCAGAAUGGUUGGAAAUCAUUCGUAGAGUG
rnacentral:rRNA from 1 species